UGCUUCAGGUCAGACACCAAGGAGGUGGAA
rnacentral:piRNA from 1 species